rnacentral:rRNA from 1 species
AGUGAACGCUGGCGGUAGGCCUAACACAUGCAAGUCGAACGGCAGCACAGUAAGAGCUUGCUCUUACGGGUGGCGAGUGGCGGACGGGUGAGGAAUACAUCGGACUCUACUUUUUCGUGGGGGAUCACGUAGGGAAACUUACGCUAAUACCGCAUACGACCUACGGGUGAAAGCAGGGGAUCUUCGGACCUUGCGCGAUUGAAUGAGCCGAUGUCGGAUUAGCUAGUUGGCGGGGUAAAGGCCCACCAAGGCGACGAUCCGUAGCUGGUCUGAGAGGAUGAUCAGCCACACUGGAACUGGGACACGGUCCAGACUCCUACGGGAGGCAGCAGUGGGGAAUAUUGGACAAUGGGCGCAAGCCUGAUCCAGCCAUACCGCGUGGGUGAAGAAGGCCUUCGGGUUGUAAAGCCCUUUUGUUGGGAAAGAAAAGCAGCAGGUUAAUACCCCGCUGUUCUGACGGUACCCAAAGAAUAAGCACCGGCUAACUUCGUG